GGAGAGUACCAGCCUUCUCCUCCAUCAGCAGAAGGUGACACACAGCAGCUGAAGGGAGAGUACCAGCCUUCACUUCCAUCAGCAGAAGGUGACACACAGCAGCUGAAGGGAGAGAACCAGUCUUCACUUCCAUCAGCAGGUGACACACUGCAGCUAAAGGGAGAGUACCAACCGUCCCCUCCAUCAGCAGGCGCAACACAGCAGCUGAAGGGAGAGCGUCCACACCCGUCCGUUGCUCCUGUACAUCAUCAUCCAGCGGUUCGGCCCCCACCUAAGCCACCCCCGUCUGUGUGAAUCAACUGGGAGACUGUGCUUCCGGGUCAACACGACGGUCACCCACAGAACUUUGUUUUAUAGACAAAACAGAACUCACGCUCAACGUUUUCUCAAGGUCAACACAGAACCCUCUAGAGUUAUAC